rnacentral:rRNA from 1 species
GGGAUAUUGGACAAUGGGGGGAACCCUGAUCCAGCGACGCCGCGUGAGGGAAGAAGUAUUUGGGUAUGUAAAGCUCUGUCAGCAGGGAAGAAAGAAAUGACGGUACCUGACCAAGAAGCCCCGGCUAACUACGGGCCAGCAGCCGGGGUAAUACGUAGGGGGCAAGCGUUAUCAGGAAUUACUGGGUGGAAAGGGAGCGUAGACGGUUAAGUAAGUCUGGAGUGAAAGGCCGGGGCCCAACCCCGAGACUGCUCUGGAAACUAUUCAACUUGAGUGCAGGAGAGGUAAGCGGAAUUCCUAGUGUAGCGGUGAAAUGCGUAGAUAUUAGGAGGAACACCAGUGGCGAAGGCGGCUUACUGGACUGUAACUGACGUUGAGGCUCGAAAGCGUGGGGAGCAAAC